CCUGGGCAACAAAGCGACGCUCCGUCUCAAGAAACAACAACAACAAAACAACAACAACAACAAAGAACAUCUUCCCAUUAGCACUGGAGCAGCCUCCUUGGAGCAUAGAAUGCGGUGCGGGCGGGCUCUGCACUAUUCACCUUCCCCUGCACGCCCUUGUCUCCUGAGUGCCGUGGUGGGAUCUUUGUGGCUUUGUUCCAAGUUGUGCCACUGAUCGGCUGGGUGCCUGGGGCACCUCAGUUUUCAUCAUCUGUGAAGUGGGGGUGCAGCAGCACAUGGCUCACAAAGCUGGGGUGGGCAUCGCGUGAAUUACACAGGUGGAUGCGGACAGC
rnacentral:lncRNA from 10 species